GAGAGCACUCCUGUGGCACACAGAAAUGAUUCUUGGGUUUCUAUUCAUUUUGACAGAUUUUGGAGUGAAGGGCACUGUUAAAGUAAAGCACAGAGAGUGAUUCCUUGGGCGGCCAGGCACCACCUAGGGAAGAAAGGUGGGGAUCCUGGUCCCUAGGCUGACAGCAACUGAGACCUGAUAGGUUCCUCAGCCCCCCAGGUGAUGGCCAAGUGAGACAGGCCUCAGGAGCUCCUCUCCAAAGAAAACAGUCAUUUUUUUUCCUACCUGUCCCUUUCAGUCUUUGGAAGCUCCCUCCAGAAACCGAACUGUGAAAGGAGCAAGAGUUGAAAUGAAGAAUGUGCUCUGAUACUUCAGUCUGAGAGUAUUUCUUUCCUGGAGAGAGAGGCAUCACUCCUAGAUGUGUGGGGGUCUUCACCCUUUCAGGAAUAAGACAGGUCCCUGCAGAGACUUUGGACCUGAUGUGGUGAAUAAAGUUGGUUAGUCUUUCUCACAGUUCUACCUUUAGGACAAAGAAUAGAAAGCCUCCCGUGACUAUAUUCACUAACUCUCAGCCCAGGCCAGAUCAUCCACCAGCCAGUGAAAGGGACCUCGUCUGUGGCCAAACUAGGUGCAGCUCGGUGCCCUCCUGUGAUAUUUCCAGCUCUCCAGCCUCCUGCUGACCACAGCUCACAGACCUCAUGGAGUAGUUUCCAGGACAAAGCAAGGUUAUGUCUCCACAACACCAAACAUUCCCAGGUGUGGCAGGCAAGCCAUUGAUUUAGAAGAGAGGAGGAGAGAGGAAGAGAAAACCAGAAAAGGCACUUUCUUGGUAAAGAGACAUCAGCUUUCUCACCAUGGCUGUUUCAUAACACAAGGAGACCUGGCCCAAGCUCAGAGGGGAAAGACCCCUGGGUGUUCAUGGAAAACCUUUAAGCACAGUGAGACCAAAUGUUAGUAGAUGGGGGAUAAAAGGGAGAAAUUCAUGGAGUAUGCCUAGAACAGGCCUUGUAUGCAGCAUCCCCUUCUUGCCUAGGACUUGAAGGGCCAGGCUUCCUGUCAUUGCCUCACUCAAAUGUAGCCCAGGAAGACAUUAGACUGAUAGCACUGAUCACCUCCAGACAAAACCCCUGCACCUGCACAGUCACAUAGACUUGGACAAAAGCCCAUCCUUACUAAGGAAGACCUAACAACUAUUUCUUCUCACGCCCAUUCUUGUCCACCGUCUUUAUCAAAAAGCCAGGAAAACUGCUUCUUCAGACACUUUCUGAGCCGGCUGUAUUUUGAAGGACAAAAAAAAAAAAAUUACUCUUUUGAGAGCAUUGUGUCUGCAAGGUGGGCUCACGUUAUUUUUGGUGAUCAGUUUAUGACUGGAGUUCAAAUAGACUGCUUAUUUUAUAAGAGUUUUUAAUUUUGAAUAUUCUUUUUGCUGAA
rnacentral:lncRNA from 1 species